rnacentral:lncRNA from 1 species
UUUAGUGCUAAAGCAAGAAGUAAAAACAGGAUUUAAAGAAACCAAAUGGAAUCACAGUCAUGGAGUAUCAGACCUGGACGAUGCCUUGGUGAUGAGGUGGCCCCCUUCCCUUGGCAGACCAGGGGAAGAAACUGAAGCUCUGAGGAAUUCAGGGAUGUGCUGGAGGUUCCAGAGCUAGGCCUGGAACUUUUUCCAGGGUUCAAUGCUAUGCUCAAACAGUGGAAGGAUCCCGCAGCAUGGCACAGAGCCCCUUCAGAGCUCCAGCAAUCUUGAGCUUAGCAACUGAGUAGACCCUGGAAGCCAGAGGGCUGCCUGCCGUCUCCCCAGAGAUCUCAGGACCCGUGCUGCUAAGGUGGUUCACUUGAAGGGUGUGUCCACAGUGGUUACAAGUUAGCACUGGGGCCCUGUGCCCCGGCUCCCGCAUCUCCAGGUCUGGCCUCCCUUGGCCCCUCCCUUUCCUCAGUGGCCUUGGCCUUGGCCUAUCAGUGUCUCUGCCAGGAUGUCCUCAUCCUAAGGGUGAGCUGAUAAGGCAGUCUCAUAGGAUGCAGGGUUGGAAGGUGGCUCAGGGACACUUCAGCUGAGCCCUCUGGGAAAACACCAACCCCUGCAGGAGGUGGCGGGCGGAGGGGCCCAGGCUGCACUCAGGCUCUAGGAAGUUUUAUUCUGUGUUUGCCCUCCCCAUGGGCUGCACCCUCCUCAGCACAGAGGCGGCAGCUUCCACACCUAGCACCGUGCCAGCCUUGCUGGACACUCAAGAGAGGCCUUGAGCUUUCUUUUUUCUUCUCGCUGUGGAAAUUGCCUGAUAAGCUACAAACUGUUGGUUCUUGAAUGGGCUGGCUGCCCCAGAUGUCCGAAUCCCUUGGAAGGAACCUGGAGGAGUUGGCUGAUGGGCUCCAGGUACAUGCCAGGCUGUGGGCCGUGCUGAGCCCUAGAGUCUGAGCUGCAGCUAUAUUCUGUUCUAAUUUCUGUCUCUAUAUUCUUUGUAAUUGGGCCACUCUCUUAGACAGCUGGA